rnacentral:sRNA from 1 species
AGAACCACAGAAGGUUAAAGUGAGCUCAUCGAUUCAGCACCCAGAAACACCUCUGCACAUUUCUGGUUUCCAUCUGCCCUCCAAGCCUAAACCCCCACAAGAAACAGAAAAAGGACACCCAGCUUGUGAGCCUGAGAACCUGGAAUUUAGUUCCUUCAUGUUCUGGAGAAACCCUCUGCCCAACAUCGAUCACGAGCUGCAGGAGCUGCUGAUUGACAGAGGUGAGGACAUUCCAAGUGAUGAGGAGGAGGAAGAAAACGGGUUUGAAGACAGAAGAGAUGACAGCGAUGACGACGGGGGCGGCUGGAUAACCCCCAGUAACAUCAAGCAGAUCCAGCAGGAGCUGGAGCAGUGCGACGUCCCCGAGGACGUGCGGGUUGGCUGCGUGACCACAGACUUCGCCAUGCAGGUGGGUAGGGUGGGCCUGGGCCGUGUGUCACACACGUCAUCGGCAGUGGUCCUACCGAGGUGUACUGAUAUACACGGAACUGGUGCUGUGCAGCGCUUCUUUUCCUGGUUCUGGAAACUACCUGUGCCAUUUGCUGAUUUUUAGUUUCGCUUAGAGGCUAGACAAUCGUG